GGGAUCUAAUCCUUUUACAAUUCCAUCGUGCGAUGCAAAAUGCAUCAAUAAGUAUUUUGUGAUUAGGAAUUAAAUAAAACACACAUGAGGAAUUCCCUAAUCGUUGUUUUGGCUGAGGGUGGAAUGCUGAAGACUGCAAGUGAAAUGUAAUUAGCGAGCAGUCUUCAUGCGGGUUUUUUGAGUUACUAUAUAAAUUUCAUAAGUUACAUCAUCAUCUUUUGUGCUAUCAUCUCUUCGCAUUUCCUCCUUGUUCUCAAACCUCUUUAUCUGCAAGAGUUUGAACGCUUUUCUGUCGAGGAGAUGCACGAGCUUCAUCUGGCACUGCAUGCUUGAGGCCGUGGAGGACGCUGCUUGUAGCCUAAAAGUGUGCGAGACCUGUUGAACCCCAGAAGAAGAGAGGAACGUUCAGGGUAACGGCUUAUAACCGCAUGGCUUCCAAGGUACCCACUUUUCCAUGAUAAAAGUAGGAGUCUUUCUGAC